UUCCUGUCGUAAAAUAAUGAGAACACGUGUGUUAGAACACCUGGAGCCUGGAAUAUGAAGUAGGCCUACUGUUGUAGGCCUAUCCUACACUGUACCCUACACUUUACCCUACACUGUACAGACAUUUCCGGAAAUAAAGACACUACGGAAAUUUAUCUUUAGUUUAGACCCAGAAAUAUAUAGGUUUACCAUUGUUGAAAGUAGGCCUACAGGACAAUGAUACAAUGAUUUUUUCAUCAGGACUAUUGGCUACAUCGUUCCCAUCAUGACCACUUGAGACCUGUCAGAUUACUGAUAAAUUAGGCCUAUUGUAAAACCCAAGAAAGUGCCCCAUAAAUCAUCAGGUGCUAUGGAAUAUUUUCAUUUACUACGGAAGGAAGACAUGGUGGUCUGUAACUUAUCGAAUUUUGAUUAAUUAAGUGUGCAGAAUAUUUACGACAUCAUUUCAUCUCUGUUGAAAUUCUGAAGAAACUUGGACAUUGCACCUUCUUUGCAACAAGUCAACCUACCCUGCUUGGCUGAAUGUCUAAUCUUGCUGCCGCUACUGAAUGGUUAUGGCAACUGGUGAUUUGGUAGUAGAAGCUUUCAGUUCUGGUUAUGUAUUUGAAAUAUAAAUUGUAAUUAUUUAGUAUUGUACAUUUUGAAUAAAUAAAUAUUAAUUGUAUUCAGUUGUAUUGAAUAAUUUAUUGUAAUAUUGAAUAAAUAAAUAUUAAUUGUA